rnacentral:rRNA from 1 species
AGGUGGUUAAAAAAGUUGGUGGUGAAAUCCCAGAGCUUGACUCUGGAACUGCCAUCAAAACUUUUUAGCUAGAGUAUGAUAGAGGAAAGCAGAAUUUCUAGUGUAGAGGUGAAAUUCGUAGAUAUUAGAAAGAAUACCAAUUGCGAAGGCAGCUUUCUGGAUCAUUACUGACACUGAGGAACGAAAGCAUGGGUAGCGAAGAGGAUUAGAUACCCUCGUAGUCCCAUGCCGUAAACGAUGUGUGUUAGACGUUGGAAAUUUAUUUUCAGUGUCGCAGCGAAAGCAAUAAACACACCGCCUGGGGAGUACGACCGCAAGGUUAAAACUCAAAUGAAUUGACGGGGACCCGCACAAGUAGUGGAGCAUGUGGUUUAAUUCGAAGAUACGCGCAGAACCUUACCAACACUUGACAUGUUCGUCGCGACUCUAAGAGAUUAGAGUUUUCGGUUCGGCCGGACGAAACACAGGUGCUGCAUGGCUGUCGUCAGCUCGUGUCGUGAGAUGUUGGGUUAAGUCCCGCAACGAGCGCAACCCGCACUUUUAGUUGCCAUCAUUUAGUUGGGCACUCUGAAAGAACUGCCAGUGAUAAGCUGGAGGAAGGUGGGGAUGACGUCAAGUCCUCAUGGCCCUUAUGUGUUGGGCUACACACGUGCUACAAUGGUAUUUACAACAGGAAGCAAGACGGCAACGUUAAGCAAAUCCCUAAAAAAUACCUCAGUUCGGAUUGCACUCUGCAACUCGAGUGCAUGAAGCUGGAAUUACUAGUAAUCGUGGAUCAGCGUGCCACGGUGAAUACGUUCCCGGGUCUUGCACACACCGCCCGUC